rnacentral:lncRNA from 1 species
UUCAGAUGCAUUUCAUCUUCUCAGAUACAGCGGUGCUUCUGUUUGAUUUCUGGAGUGUCCACAGUCCUGCUGCAUGGCCCUUUCGGUGUUGGUGCUCCUGCUUCUGGCUGUACUGUAUGAAGGCAUCAAGGUUGGCAAAGCCAAGCUGCUCAACCAGGUACUGGUGAACCUGCCAACCUCCAUCAGCCAGCAGACCAUCGCAGAGACAGACGGGGACUCUGCAGGCUCAGAUUCAUUCCCUGUUGGCAGAACCCACCACAGUGGUAUUUGUGUCACUUUGGCCAGUCUCUAAUCCAUGUCAUCCAGGUGGUCAUCGGCUACUUCAUCAUGCUGGCCGUAAUGUCCUACAACACCUGGAUUUUCCUUGGUGUGGUCUUGGGCUCUGCUGUGGGCUACUACCUAGCUUACCCACUUCUCAGCACAGCU